AUUGAACGCUGGCGGCAUGCCUUACACAUGCAAGUCGAACGGCAGCACGGGGGCAACCCUGGUGGCGAGUGGCGAACGGGUGAGUAAUACAUCGGAACGUGCCCGAUAGUGGGGGAUAGCUCGGCGAAAGCCGGAUUAAUACCGCAUACGACCUACGGGUGAAAGCGGGGGAUCGCAAGACCUCGCGCUAUCAGAGCGGCCGAUGUCAGAUUAGGUUGUUGGUGGGGUAAAGGCCACCAAGCCGACGAUCUGUAGCUGGUCUGAGAGGACGACCAGCCACACUGGGACUGAGACACGGCCCAGACUCCUACGGGAGGCAGCAGUGGGGAAUUUUGGACAAUGGGCGAAAGCCUGAUCCAGCCAUGCCGCGUGCGGGAAGAAGGCCU
rnacentral:rRNA from 1 species